rnacentral:rRNA from 1 species
UACGUAGGGACCAAGCGUUGUCCGGAAUCAUUGGGCGUAAAGAGCGUGUAGGCGGCUUGUUAAGUCUUGCGUGAAAUCUCGGGGCUCAACCCCGAGCGGUCGUGAGAAACUGGCAGGCUAGAGUGCGGGAGAGGAGAGUGGAAUUCCUGGUGUAGCGGUGAAAUGCGCAGAUAUCAGGAAGAACACCCGUGGCGAAGGCGGGUCUCUGGGCCGAUACUGACGCUGAGGAGCGAAAGCGUGGGGAGCGAACAGG